UUGGGAGCUCACUGGCUUCGGGUUCCGUAGGAACUCCGAAGUUAAGCGAGAAGGAGGCCAGAGCACUCCCAUGAUGGGUGACCCACUGGGAAGUUGCUCGUGAGUUCCCAAAAAACAAAAACCGUGAGGGCGUGUGUCGGGGCCCAAAGCGGACAAUAUCGUGCUACGGUGGUGGAACGGGCCCGGGAAGUGGUCCGCCCCGGGCCGGGAUGUGACAAUUUGGUAUCAGAGCCUAACCCUGGCCGUGGUGUGCCGACGAGGACGUCGGGCCCCUAAGGGGGGUGGAUUGUAACAUCCCACAUCGCCCAGGGGAGUGAUCCUUAAAUGCAAAUUCCCAUCCCUACCUAGCACGAGGCCUUUUGGGAGCUCACUGGCUUCGGGUUCCGUAGGAACUCCGAAGUUAAGCGAGAAGGAGGCCAGAGCACUCCCAUGAUGGGUGACCCACUGGGAAGUUGCUCGUGAGUUCCCAAA
rnacentral:sRNA from 1 species